rnacentral:rRNA from 1 species
CAGCAGCCGCGGUAAUACCUGCAGCUCAAGUGGUGAUCAUUAUUAUUGGGCCUAAAACGUCCGUAGCCGGUUUAGUAAAUGCCUGGGUAAAUCGUGUAGCUUAACUAUACGAAUUCCGGGUAGACUGCUAAACUUGAGACCGGGAGAGGCUAGAGGUACUCCUGGGGUAGAGGUGAAAUUCUGUAAUCCUAGGGGGACCACCAGUGGCGAAGGCGUCUAGCUAGAACGGGUCUGACGGUGAGGGACGAAGCCCUGGGGCGCAAACCGGAUUAGAUACCCGGGUAGUCCAGGGUGUAAACGCUGCUUGCUUGAUGUUAGUUGGGCUCCGAGCCCAACUAGUGUCGGAGAGAAGUUGUUAAGCAAGCUGCCUGGGAAGUACGGUCGCAAGGCUGAAACUUAAAGGAAUUGGCGGGGGAGCACAGCAACGGGUGGAGCGUGCGGUUUAAUUGGAUUCAACGUCGGAAAACUCACCGGGGGCGACUGCUAUAUGUGGGCCAGAUUAAUGAUCUUGCCUGAAUUUCAGAGAAGUGGUGCAUGGCCGCCGUCAGUUCGUACCGUAAGGCGUUCUGUUAAGUCAGACAACGAACGAGACCCCUGCCUCUAAUUGCUAUUGGAUCUCUCCGGAGGUCAAGGACAUUAGAGGGACCGCUGGCGCUAAGUCAGAGGAAGGGGAGGGCAACGGUAGGUCAGUAUGCCCCGAAUCUCCCGGGCUACACGCGCGCUACAAAGGAUGGGACAAUGGGUCCCAACUCCGAGAGGGAAAGGUAAUCUCCAAACCCAUUCAUAGUUCGGAUUGAGGGCUGUAACUCGCCCUCAUGAAGCUGGAAUCCGUAGUAAUCGCGGGUCAACAUCCCGCGGUGAAUAUGCCCCUGCUCCUUGCACACACCGCCCGUCAAACCAUUUGAGUUGGGUUUGGAUGAGGGCUUCUCUUCCUGGGGAGUUCAAAUCCAUGUUCAGCAAGAAGGGUUAAGUCGUAACAAGGUAACCGUA